GCUUGGGGAUGCCUAACACAUGCAAGUCGAACGGCAGCACAGAAGAGCUUGCUCCUUGGGUGGCGAGUGGCGGACGGGUGAGGAAUACAUCGGAAUCUACUCUGUCGAGGGGGAUAACGUAGGGAAACUUACGCUAAUACCGAAUACGACCUACGGGUGAAAGAAGGGGAUCUUCGGACCUUGCGCGAUUGAAUGAGGCGAUGUCGGAUUAUCUAGUUGGCGGGGUAAAGGCCCACCAAGGCGACGAUCCGGACUUGGUCUGAAAGGAUGAUCAUGCACACUGGAACUGAGACACGGUCCUACUCCUACGGGAGGGGCAAAGGGGAAUAUUGGACAAUGGGCGCAAGCCUGAUCCCCCAUACCGCGUGGGUGAAGAAGGCCUUCGGGUUGUAAAGCCCUUUUGUUGGGAAAGAAAUCCAUCUGGUUAAUACCCGGGGGGAUGACGGUACCCAAAGAAUAAGCACCGGCUAACUUCGUGCCAGCAGCCGCGGUAAUACGAAGGGUGCAAGCGUUACUCCUAAUUACUGGGCGUAAAGCGUGCGUAUGUGGUCGUUUAAGUCCGUUGUGAAAGCCCUGGUCUCAACCUGGAAACUGCAUUGGAUACUGGGCGACUAGAAUGUGGGAGAGGGUAGCGGAAUUCCUGGUGUAGCUGCGAAAUGCUUAGAGAUCACGAGGAUCAUCCAUGGCGAACGCUGCUACCUGGACCCACAUUGACACUGAAGCCGAAAGCGUGGAUAGCAACGAGAUUAUAUACCCUGAUAGCCCACCCCUAACGAUGCCACUGGAUGUUGGGUGCAAUUUGACACGCAGUAUCGAAGCUACGUUCACCUUCGGCGCUGGGAUACGGCGCAGACUGAAACUCAAGGAAUUGCCCGGCCCGCACAAGAGGUGAGGAUGUGUUUUAAUUCAUGAAAACCCUAAAACUCUACCUGGUCUUGACAUGUCCAGAAAUUCCAAAAGGGUUGGUGCCUCGGAUAACCUGAACCCCUGGUUGGACGCUGUC
rnacentral:rRNA from 1 species